rnacentral:rRNA from 1 species
CACGUAGGCGGAUUUGUAAGUCAGGGGUGAAAUCCCGGGGCUCAACCUCGGAACUGCCUUUGAUACUGCAAGUCUUGAGUCCGGAAGAGGUGAGUGGAAUUCCUAGUGUAGAGGUGAAAUUCGUAGAUAUUAGGAAGAACACCAGUGGCGAAGGCGGCUCACUGGUCCGGUACUGACGCUGAGGUGCGAAAGCGUGGGGAGCAAACA